rnacentral:rRNA from 1 species
UCCUACGGGAGGCAGCAGUGGGGAAUAUUGCACAAUGGGGGAAACCCUGAUGCAGCAACGCCGCGUGAGUGAAGAAGUAUUUCGGUAUGUAAAGCCCUAUCAGCAGGGAAGAAAAUGACGGUGCCUGAGUAAGAAGCCCCGGCUAACUACGUGCCAGCAGCCGCGGUAAUACGUAGGGGGCAAGCGUUAUCCGGAUUUACUGGGUGUAAAGGGAGCGUAGACGGCGAUACAAGUCUGAAGUGAACGCCCGGGGCUCAA